rnacentral:misc_RNA from 1 species
AACGCACGAGACCUGCGGACCUGCGGAGGGAUCAUUACCGAGUUUACAACUCCCAAACCCCAUGUGAACAUACCUGUUUCGUUCCCUCGGCGGUGUCCGGCAACGGCCCGCCAGAGGACCCAACAAACUCUUUUGAAUUUUUCAGUAUCUUCUGAGUGAAAAAAACAAUAAAUCAAAACUUUUAACAACGGAUCUCU